rnacentral:tRNA from 1 species
AGCGUAAAAGGAAAGGGUGAUUUUGAACAUCACUACAAAGAAGUUCGAGUCUUCUAUACGCUU